rnacentral:ncRNA from 1 species
AUUCUCAGGGCGGGGCGAAAUUCCCCACCGGCGGUUAUAGCCCGCGAGCGGCCCUUCGGGGUGUCAGCAGAUCUCGGUGAAAUUCCGAAGCCGACGGUUAAAGUCCGGAUGGAAGAGAAU